AAUUAUUUAUUUGAUGGUUUCUUACUACAUGGAUAACCGUAGUAAUUCUAGAGCUAAUACAUGCGUAAAGACCCGACUCCUGCGGGGAGGGUUGUAUUUAUUAGAUUAAAAGCCAAUGCGGGCUCUGCCCGGUUUUAUGGUGAGUCAUAGUAACUUUUCGGAUCGCACGGCUUCACGCCGGCGACAGUUCAUUCAAAUUUCUGCCCUAUCAGCUUUCGACGGUAGUGUAGUGGACUACCGUGGCAUUCACGGGUGACGGAGAAUUAGGGUUCGAUUCCGGAGAGGGAGCCUGAGAAACGGCUACCACA
rnacentral:rRNA from 1 species